UUGAACGCUGGCGGCAUGCUUUACACAUGCAAGUCGAACGGUAACAGGCCUUCGGGUGCUGGCGAGUGGCGAACGGGUGAGUAAUGCAUCGGAACGUACCCAGAGGUGGGGGAUAACGCAGCGAAAGCUGUGCUAAUACCGCAUGUGAUCUGAGGAUGAAAGCGGGGGACCGAGCAGCAAUGUUUGGCCUCGCGCCUUUGGAGCGGCCGAUGUCGGAUUAGCUAGUUGGUGGGGUAAAGGCCUACCAAGGCGACGAUCCGUAGCUGGUCUGAGAGGACGACCAGCCACACUGGGACUGAGACACGGCCCAGACUCCUACGGGAGGCAGCAGUGGGGAAUUUUGGACAAUGGGCGCAAGCCUGAUCCAGCAAUGCCGCGUGCGGGAAGAAGGCCUUCGGGUUGUAAACCGCUUUUGGCAGGAACGAAACGGUGUCCGCUAAUACCGGGCGCUAAUGACGGUACCUGCAGAAUAAGCACCGGCUAACUACGUG
rnacentral:rRNA from 1 species